rnacentral:rRNA from 1 species
AGAUGGCGCCGGCGCACGGGUGAGUAACACGUAUCCAACCUGCCGAUAACUCGGGGAUAGCCUUUCGAAAGAAAGAUUAAUACCCGAUGGUAUAAUCAGACCGCAUGGUCUUGUUAUUAAAGAAUUUCGGUUAUCGAUGGGGAUGCGUUCCAUUAGGCAGUUGGUGAGGUAACGGCUCACCAAACCUUCGAUGGAUAGGGGUUCUGAGAGGAAGGUCCCCCCACAUUGGAACUGAGACACGGUCCAA